GCGCACCAGUCGAGAAACCUUCGCAAUGCGGGAAACCGCGACGAGGGGACUCCCAGUGCCUACGCUCAGCGUAGGCUGUUCCCGAGCCUAGAAAGCUCGGGGAGUAAGGGCUGGGUAAGACGGGUGCCAGCCGCCGCGGUAAUACCCGCAGCCCGAGUGGUGGCCACUAUUAUUGGGCCUAAAGCGUCCGUAGCCGGCCCGGUAAAUGCCUGGGUAAAUCGUGAGGCCUAACCUCACGAAUUCCGGGUAGACUGCCGGGCUAGGGGACCGGAGGAGGGAGAGGGGUACUCCAGGGGUAGGGGUGAAAUCCUGUAAUCCCUGGAGGACCACCGGUGGCGAAGGCGCUCUCCUAGGACGGGUCCGACGGUGAGGGACGAAAGCCAGGGGAGCGAACCGGAUUAGAUACCCCCGUAGU
rnacentral:rRNA from 1 species